rnacentral:rRNA from 1 species
GACGAACGCUGGCGGCGUGCCUAAUACAUGCAAGUCGAACGCACAGUUUAUACCGUAGCUUGCUACACCAUAGACUGUGAGUUGCGAACGGGUGAGUAACGCGUAUGUAACCUGCCUGGUAGCGGGGGAUAACUAUUGGAAACGAUAGCUAAUACCGCAUCAUAUUAAUUAUUGCAUGAUAAUUAAUUGAAAGGUGCAAUUGCACCACUACUAGAUGGACCUGGUUUUUAUUAGCUAGUAGGCAGGGUAACGGCUCACCUAGGCGACGAUACAUAGCCGACCUGAGAGGGUGACCGGCCACACGGGAACGGAGACAGGGCCAAGACUCUUAGGGGAGGCACAAGAGGGGAAUUUCGGGCAUGGGGGGAAGGCCGACCGAGGAACGCCGGGGGGGGGGAGGAGGGUCUUGGGUUGGUAAACUCCGUUUUAAGGGAAAGAAGAGUGGGAGAGUGAAAAGUUCACAUUGUGACGGUACCUAACCAGAAAGCGACGGCUAACUACGUG